rnacentral:miRNA from 1 species
UGACCUAGUGGGAAACCAUAGC